GGGACGCGGGGCGCGGGGGGCGGUGGAGUCGUGUCCGCCAACGAAGAGGUGCAGACGUUGUCCGGCAGCGUGAGGCGGGUCCCGUCCGGACUCCCCAGCAUCCCUAGCACCCCGGGCUGCGCAGCCUCUGCCAAGGGCCCCGGUGCGCCGCAGCCCAAACCCGCCAGCCUGGGCCGAGGGCGGGGGGCAGCCGCUGCCAUCCUGAGCUUGGGUAACGUGCUCAACUAUCUGGACAGGUACACCGUGGCAGGUGUUCUUCUGGACAUCCAGCAGCACUUUGGGGUCAAGGACCGGGGUGCCGGCUUGCUGCAGUCAGUGUUCAUCUGCAGCUUCAUGGUGGCUGCCCCCAUCUUCGGCUACCUGGGUGACCGAUUCAAUAGGAAGGUGAUCCUCAGCUGUGGCAUCUUCUUCUGGUCGGCCGUCACCUUCUCUAGCUCUUUCAUUCCUCAGCAGCACUUCUGGCUGCUGGUCCUGUCCCGAGGGUUAGUAGGUAUCGGUGAAGCCAGCUACUCCACCAUAGCACCCACCAUCAUCGGCGACUUAUUUACCAAGAACACCCGCACGCUUAUGCUCUCAGUCUUCUAUUUUGCCAUCCCACUGGGCAGUGGCCUGGGCUACAUCACAGGUUCCAGCGUGAAGCAGGCAGCUGGAGACUGGCAUUGGGCCUUGAGGGUAUCCCCUGUCCUGGGCAUGAUCACAGGAACACUCAUCCUCAUCCUGGUCCCAGCCACUAAGAGAGGCCAUGCUGAUCAACUUGGGGGGCAGCUCAAAGCACGGACCUCAUGGCUCCGAGACAUGAAGGCUCUGAUCCGAAACCGCAGUUACGUCUUUUCCUCCCUGGCCACCUCAGCCGUGUCCUUCGCCACAGGAGCCCUAGGCAUGUGGAUUCCUCUCUAUCUGCACCGUGCUCAAGUUGUACAAAAGACGGCAGAGACGUGCAACAGCCCACCUUGCGGCGCCAAAGACAGCCUCAUCUUUGGGGCCAUUACCUGCUUUACUGGCUUUCUGGGCGUGGUCACAGGUGCGGGAGCCACUCGCUGGUGCCGCCUGCGGACUCAGCGUGCUGACCCACUGGUGUGUGCUGUGGGCAUGCUGGGAUCUGCCAUCUUCAUCUGCCUCAUCUUUGUGGCUGCCAAGACCAGCAUUGUGGGCGCUUAUAUCUGCAUCUUUGUUGGGGAGACACUGCUGUUUUCUAACUGGGCCAUCACUGCAGACAUCCUCAUGUACGUGGUCAUCCCUACCCGACGAGCCACUGCUGUGGCCUUGCAGAGCUUCACCUCCCAUCUGCUGGGGGAUGCUGGAAGCCCCUACCUCAUUGGCUUUAUCUCGGACCUUAUCCGCCAGAGCACCAAGGACUCCCCACUCUGGGAGUUUCUGAGCCUGGGCUAUGCCCUCAUGCUGUGCCCUUUUGUUGUGGUCCUAGGUGGCAUGUUCUUCCUUGCCACUGCUCUCUUCUUCCUCAGUGACCGUGCCAAGGCUGAACAGCAGUCCCUGCCCAGCGCCUCCGGUCUGCCGGCCCCAGUGAUGCGAUGUGCCAGAGCCGUGCCUGGGCCCAGUCCCCGCUGAUGUGCCACCCUGACCCCCGCCCGUCUCUCCCUCAGGGUGAACCAGCUGGUGAUGCCGCCUGCAUCCGUGAAAGUCUGAGGUGGUGCAGCUGGGACAGCAAUGAUCUGCAGUUUAGAUUGGGAGAGGUCUUCCAGCAUCCUGGACCUGCAGGACUGUCCCAAAGCUACCCAUGUGACUCACAGCUGGGUACUCACCCUUGUUGGCCCAGGACUGAGCGGCCCUAUCUCGAAGAAGCUGCAUCCUCAGUUAACAUGGAGGGCUGUGUGUGCUGGAGCCACUCAGUUGAACACAAUUCAAGACCUGGUUGGGGGCUGAAAGUCCAAGAGAGAAACCAGCCUGCACUGGGUAUUUGGGGAAAGCCUGGUGCGCCCUUAGCUCAUAAUAUCUUGAGAGAGCCCCUAUCCUCCCUAGACAGUGGGGCCAAGGAGCUGGAGCUUCCUUCAUUGUGUGCCUUGCAAGGCACCCUCCAUGGCUUUGAAGAAACAAGUCCUAGACUGUACACAGAAGACAUGGCCCAAGUCUCAGGCCCUCAGUUCUGGUUCUGAGGUCCCCCACAAAGCCUCUGGAGGACCAUUUCCCCAUCCUUAGGCUCUGACCUGGGGGCCAUCAAAUUCAGCCUGACACAUGGAGCUGGGUACCUACUGCUGGAUGCUCCCUGGCUGGGACAGUCACCCAGGAGAAUAGAUACUGCCUCUGCUGUCUUCAGCUGGUUCUUUGCCCAAUUUUUCCAAGGUGGGACCACCCCUUAUUAAAGGAAGCUGCAGCACUAGGGGUGAAGGCCCUGCAACCUUAGGAACCUACUUCCUCACCCUCCCCCACCAACUCCUGCUGUUGCCCAGAAGCCACCCCCUUACAGGAUGACCUUUUCAAUGAGUCAGAUUCAGAUUUGGCUGCUGAAAGCUGUACCUAAGCAGCUGUUCACAUUGCUUCUUGGCUUGGGUAUGAAACUGCUGGAGAUUGCCCACCAGUGCCUGUAGGUAUCAUACCCCAACUGCCUGGGGAGGGGGGGCAGGCCUUCACCUCAGCCUUUGAUCACCCUACACCUACACACAUACAGCCCUUCACUCCCCUGCAGCUACCUUAGUCACCUCUGGACACUUAUCCCCAGCUUCACUCCUUGCACGUCAAGGUGGUUCUGGUCCUGGGGUACCAUUGUAACCUACAGGAAACGUCCAGAACCAGCUUGGACAACAGUUCCUGUGGCCAUCCCCCACUUGCUGGCUGUGGCUUCAGUGGUGUUAGUGGUACCCACGCCACCCAAGCUCUGGGGCACCCUGGGGGUUUGGAUGUGGGUGGGCAGGGGGUGCUAUCCCUUAUGACCAGGCUGGCUCCCACCCUAACCCCAGCAGGGGCCCCAGCAAUGUUUUCUUGUUGUACAAGAACCAGGUCCAAGUGUUGCCUCCUCUUCCUUCCGGAAGCUGAACCGCUCCUUUAUUUUUUAGAGCUGCUGAUUGUGAAUCUCAGAGUCUUAAGAGAGAAGCCAAAUAUAUAUUCCUCUUGUAAAUGAAGAAAUAAACCUAUUUAAAUGUU